rnacentral:pre_miRNA from 1 species
ACUUAUCAACUUCAUGCCUUGUUUAAAAUUUUUAUAAAACUGGACGGAAGUUUGAUAAGAGA